rnacentral:rRNA from 1 species
CUACGGGAUGCUGCAGUGGGGAAUAUUGCACAAUGGGGGAAACCCUGAUGCAGCAACGCCGCGUGGAGGAUGACACAUUUCGGUGCGUAAACUCCUUUUAUAUAAGAAGAUAAUGACGGUAUUAUAUGAAUAAGCACCGGCUAACUCCGUGCCAGCAGCCGCGGUAAUACGGGGGGUGCAAGCGUUACUCGGAAUCACUGGGCGUAAAGAGCAUGUAGGCUGGUUUGUAAGUUGGAAGUGAAAUCCUAUGGCUUAACCAUAGAACUGCUUCCAAAACUACUUACCUAGAAUAUGGGAGAGGUAGAUGGAAUUUCUGGUGUAGGGGUAAAAUCCGUAGAGAUCAGAAGGAAUACCGAUUGCGAAGGCGAUCUACUGGAACAUUAUUGACGCUCAGAUGCGAAAGCGUGGGGAGCAAACAGGAUUAGAUACCCUCGUAGUC